GUGCUCACUUAAGCUCCACAUAUACUAAAAUUGGAAUGAUGCAGAGAAGAUUAGCAUGGCCCCUGCUCAAGGAUGACACAAAAAUUCAUGAAGCAUUCCUUUUUUUC